rnacentral:rRNA from 1 species
AGUGAACGCUGGCGGUAGGCCUAACACAUGCAAGUCGAACGGCAGCACAGUAAGAGCUUGCUCUUACGGGUGGCGAGUGGCGGACGGGUGAGGAAUACAUCGGAAUCUACUUUUUCGUGGGGGAUAACGUAGGGAAACUUACGCUAAUACCGCAUACGACCUACGGGUGAAAGCAGGGGAUCUUCGGACCUUGCGCGAUUGAAUGAGCCGAUGUCGGAUUAGCUAGGUGGCGGGGUAAAGGCCCACCAAGGCGACGAUCCGUAGCUGGCCUGAGAGGAUGAUCAGCCACACUGGAACUGAGACACGGUCCAGACUCCUACGGGAGGCAGCAGUGGGGAAUAUUGGACAAUGGGCGCAAGCCUGAUCCAGCCAUACCGCGUGGGUGAAGAAGGCCUUCGGGUUGUAAAGCCCUUUUGUUGGGAAAGAAAAGCAGCAGGUUAAUCCCCCGCUGUUCUGACGGUACCCAAAGAAUAAGCACCGGCUAACUUCGUG